AAUUUUUCAUUUAGCGACAAUAAGAGUUUUUCAAACUCAUAAAACUUUUAAUUCCCGAUUUUCUUAGGAGAUUUUUGUUAACUAAAUUCCUAUUCAUGUCGAGAACAUGUAGUAAAUUUGUUAAGGUAACGAUUUUUCAAGGAGUAAAGAUAAUAUCAACAUUUCCUUUUCCAACCACUUUGGAGUGGCCUUCAUUACCCAUUUGACUUGUUCUCCAUUUGAUUCAUGAUAAGUCUUAAAGAGUGACUUAUCAUAUGAUACACGUAUAGUUAAACAUGUAUCAUACCACCAACUGUAAACUUUUCCUUGAUAGCAUUUAUUCUGCUCACGGUAGCCACAAUGCUCGCUUCAUCAAUGUAGUUACUUUGCCCUCUUUCUUGUUUUGUUUUCGGUGUCAACAAUCCUAGCCCUCGUUUCUUCCUCAAUUCGGAGAUGUUUUUGAACUUGUUUUUAAAGAGUAAACUUCAGAACCAUGAAGAAUCUUUUUUCAAUAUCCUUUCCAAGUCCUUGGAAGUUUAGCAAUAAUUGCUCCCACUUGGAAAUGUUUCAGAAGUUCAAUCUUAACUGCCUUUAAUUUGUUGACGAGUACUUGUAAUUCAUGCACUUAGAGAAGAAAAUGAAUGUUUUCAAGAAAUUUAAAAUCGAAAUACCACGUCAAGAAUUUAUUUUUAUCUUCUUCUUCGGCUUUAUGUUUGUUCUUUGAUGCAUCCCAAAUAUGUUUUGCCAAUGAGGUGUUGGUGUAGAGAUCAUACAACCAAUUGGAUAGUCCGUUGAGUUAUGUGACUGCGACAAAUUAAUUCAUCUUCUUCACGCUUUUGCCUCUUGGCUCUUACGACAUUGAUAUGUCCAUUUGUUGGUUCUG
rnacentral:lncRNA from 1 species